AUUGAACGCUGGCGGCAUGCUUUACACAUGCAAGUCGAACGGUAACAGGCCGCAAGGUGCUGACGAGUGGCGAACGGGUGAGUAAUGCAGCGGAACGUGCCCAGUCGUGGGGUAUAACUACGCGAAAGAGUAGCUAAUACCGCAUACGAUCUAUGGAUGAAAGCGGGGGACCGUAAGGCCUCGCGCGAUUUGAGCGGCCGAUGUCAGAUUAGGUAGUUGGUGGGGUAAAGGCUCACCAAGCCAACGAUCUGUAGCUGGUCUGAGAGGACGACCAGCCACACUGGGACUGAGACACGGCCCAGACUCCUACGGGAGGCAGCAGUGGGGAAUUUUGGACAAUGGGCGCAAGCCUGAUCCAGCAAUGCCGCGUGCAGGAAGAAGGCCUUCGGGUUGUAAACUGCUUUUGUACGGAACGAAACGGCUCUGGUUAAUACCCGGGGCUAAUGACGGUACCGUAAGAAUAAGCACCGGCUAACUACGUG
rnacentral:rRNA from 1 species